UGGACGAACGCUGGCGGCGUGCCUAAUACAUGCAAGUAGAACGCUGAAGAGAGGAGCUUGCUCUUCUUGGAUGAGUUGCGAACGGGUGAGUAACGCGUAGGUAACCUGCCUUGUAGCGGGGGAUAACUAUUGGAAACGAUAGCUAAUACCGCAUAACAAUGGAUGACACAUGUCAUUUAUUUGAAAGGGGCAAUUGUUCCACUACAAGAUGGACCUGCGUUGUAUUAGCUAGUAGGUGAGGUAAUGGCUCACCUAGGCGACGAUACAUAGCCGACCUGAGAGGGUGAUCGGCCACACUGGGACUGAGACACGGCCCAGACUCCUACGGGAGGCAGCAGUAGGGAAUCUUCGGCAAUGGGGGCAACCCUGACCGAGCAACGCCGCGUGAGUGAAGAAGGUUUUCGGAUCGCAAAGCUCUGUUGUAAGUCAAGAACGGGUGUGAGAGUGGAAAGUUCACACUAUGACGGUAGCUUACCAGAAAGGGACGGCUAACUACGUGCCAGCAGCCGCGGUAAUACGUAGGUCCCGAGCGUUGUCCGGAUUUAUUGGGCGUAAAGCGAGCGCAGGCGGUUUGAUAAGUCUGAAGUUAAAGGCUGUGGCUCAACCAUAGUUCGCUUUGGAAACUGUCAAACUUGAGUGCAGAAGGGGAGAGUGGAAUUCCAUGUGUAGCGGUGAAAUGCGUAGAUAUAUGGAGGAACACCGGUGGCGAAAGCGGCUCUCUGGUCUGUAACUGACGCUGAGGCUCGAAAGCGUGGGGAGCGAACAGGAUUAGAUACCCUGGUAGUCCACGCCGUAAACGAUGAGUGCUAGGUGUUGGAUCCUUUCCGGGAUUCAGUGCCGCAGCUAACGCAUUAAGCACUCCGCCUGGGGAGUACGACCGCAAGGUUGAAACUCAAAGGAAUUGACGGGGGCCCGCACAAGCGGUGGAGCAUGUGGUUUAAUUCGAAGCAACGCGAAGAACCUUACCAGGUCUUGACAUCCCGAUGCUAUUUCUAGAGAUAGAAAGUUACUUCGGUACAUCGGUGACAGGUGGUGCAUGGUUGUCGUCAGCUCGUGUCGUGAGAUGUUGGGUUAAGUCCCGCAACGAGCGCAACCCCUAUUGUUAGUUGCCAUCAUUCAGUUGGGCACUCUAGCGAGACUGCCGGUAAUAAACCGGAGGAAGGUGGGGAUGACGUCAAAUCAUCAUGCCCCUUAUGACCUGGGCUACACACGUGCUACAAUGGUUGGUACAACGAGUUGCGAGUCGGUGACGGCGAGCUAAUCUCUUAAAGCCAAUCUCAGUUCGGAUUGUAGGCUGCAACUCGCCUACAUGAAGUCGGAAUCGCUAGUAAUCGCGGAUCAGCACGCCGCGGUGAAUACGUUCCCGGGCCUUGUACACACCGCCCGUCACACCACGAGAGUUUGUAACACCCGAAGUCGGAGAGGUAACCUUUUGGAGCCAGCCGCCUAAGGUGGGAC
rnacentral:rRNA from 1 species